rnacentral:rRNA from 1 species
UACAGAGGGGGCAAGCGUUGUUCGGAAUUACUGGGCGUAAAGGGCGCGUAGGCGGCCUGCUAAGUCGAACGUGAAAUCCCUGGGCUCAACCCAGGAACUGCGUCCGAUACUGGUUGGCUUGAAUCCGGGAGAGGGAUGUGGAAUUCCAGGUGUAGCGGUGAAAUGCGUAGAUAUCUGGAGGAACACCGGUGGCGAAGGUGACAUCCUGGACCGGUAUUGACGCUGAGGCGCGAAAGCCAGGGGAGCAAACGGG